CGAAGCAGUGUAUCAUUACUUCCGCUAGCACUCCAGUUCAUAAGGUGGCGGUAAUGCACCUAUAAGCUGAUUUGCCAACCGCCAGUAAAACUCAAGAAGAAGAAGUUACUUCCGCUAGCGCCUCAGAAUGGAGUUUACCAAGUGGCUUGCACAUCUGCCACAAAUACUAGAUGAUGUACAACGUCUUGCAGACAAAUUUUCGCUAACGACAAGAUCAAAGCUAGGGAAAGGAAACAAAUUCUUCGUUGAACAGUACCUGUUUGAUUAUGAAGACCUGUUCCACGUCCACUUUCAUCAUAGACAAGAUAGCAGCUUACUGGAUUUGAAGUAAAUGAACAAAAGAAUGCACCAGCAACUUCAGACACAGUUCUGGAUUAUUAUGUGGAUGGGAUGCUGAAUUAUAUGUGAAAAUGGAAGAGGAGUGCUACAUUAGCCUUGAAAAGCCACUUCCAUAUAGGGAUUCAGCAGCACGUCCUUGGAUGGAUUUAUAACUUCUCGUUUUACCUCUGUACCUCAAAACUAAUUGCUGAUGAAUCACAGGAAGUUCAAGAUUACUUCACCGUCAUCCAUUCACAUCUGCCACUACAUUCUGAAGAUAUAUCACUCCUGUCAUCAAUGUGACUGAAUGAAAUACACACUUCUUUAUUUCCUUCUCUAUUACAUCCACCUCAUGCGGAAAAGCACAACUGCCCAAGAAUGACUGAUUCUACUCUCAAAAGAUCUCCAAUCUCCAAGAGGAUUCAUCAAAUGUCUCUGCAGGAAAGUAUGAGAGGGUCAGUAUCGAUUUUCAGUUGAGCUACUCGGUAGGAAAUACAGUGGAUGAUUUCGCAUUUUACUGUUACUGAAAAGCAAGCCUGAGAGAUAAAUUGGAAGCCUGAGGCGCAUGUCAAGAUGCAAGUGUGGAAUUGCUUCUAGAAGAACGGAAUAGUUUUUAAUUAUCAAAGUGCAAAGUGCCAGGUUAUAGGUUUGCCACAUCUGGUGUUUGGCUAGCUUUGCGAAUUGCGGUUGUCAAACUUAAGAUGUGGAAAUGCGUUACUUAUUCAAGCAAGGUUUGAUCAAAUAAAAUCUUAAAAAUAAUUUCAGCUUUGCACAAUGUAUAAUAGAAUGCAGUCUUCUGUGAUUCCUCGGGCAGCUAUAGAUAGCAUUCGCUAAAGGUCAAGCUGUUACCUCUACCUAUGUCCAACGGUUCAGAAACACGUUUAUUGUUCCUAAACAGAUUACAGCUCUUUAGAUGGCCAAAUGAGAUGACUGUCCACCAUUGCUCUCUGAAAAUGUUGCUCACAAACACACAGAGUGUUCUCCAAAGGAAGAAUGUAAAUGCCUUGCUACACUAUGUACUGUAUAUAUUUGACAGUAAAGAUAAAAUUCUGGACGAAAAUGUAAUUACUCUGAAGUUUUCUUUAAUAGCUUUUCAUAAAGAGAUUUUAAGGAGCUCUCAGUCGUUGAAAAAUGAAUGUGAAAAUUGAAAUGAAAUGAAAAAUAUGUCAUCAUUUAUUCACCCGCUUGUCAUUUCAAACCUGUAUGACUAACUGUCUUCUGCAAAACACAAAAGAAGGUAUUUUGAAGAAUGUUGGUAACAGAAAAACGUUGGUCCCCAUUGACUUGCAUUGGUUUUGUAUCCAUCCAUUCAAUAUAAAUAAACAGGGACUGACAAUUUUUGGUUAAGUAUCAACUUCUGUGAGGUUUUUCAUAACAUUUCUUAGACAGUUGUUACUUUUAAACAGUUUGAAGGUGUAAAUGAAUAUAGAAUUGAAAGAAAUCUGGAUUUGGGUCAAAUUUGAUGAAAACUGUUUGCGUUCACAUGGAAAUUUUCAAUAAUAUUGACUUUUCAUUGCAGACCUGGCAAAUCUGAGCUCAGUUUGUGAUACUGUUGAGAUCUCUUCUUAAACUUUAAAGGAGACAUUUGUGGGAUUUUUAGGUCUUUUUCUCCAAGAUUCAUUCAUUUGCUCUUGUAAUGCAGAACUUAUACAGCUCAAUAUGAAACACUUCUAACUACUGAAUAGAAAGAUAACUUUUGUGUUGAUUGACAUUUUACGCACAGCGGUAGUACACUUAAGCAGUAAAUCAAGUAAGUGUGUGGGUUUGGACUCACCAAGCACCUAUGGAUCUGCGAUUGGUACUUUAAA